rnacentral:rRNA from 1 species
CCUACGGGAGGCAGCAGUAGGGAAUCUUGCGCAAUGGGCGAAAGCCUGACGCAGCGACGCCGCGUGAGGGAAGAAGGCCUUCGGGUCGUAAACCUCUGUCCUUGGGGACGAUGAUGACGGUACCCAAGGAGGAAGCCCCGGCUAACUACGUGCCAGCAGCCGCGGUAAUACGUAGGGGGCGAGCGUUGUCCGGAAUCACUGGGCGUAAAGGGUGCGUAGGCGGCUUGGCAAGUCCUGUGUGAAAGGUCGCGGCUCAACCGCGGUGGGUCAUGGGAAACUGCCAAGCUCGAGUGCCGGAGAGGAUAGCGGAAUUCCCGGUGUAGCGGUGAAAUGCGUAGAGAUCGGGAGGAACACCAGUGGCGAAGGCGGCUAUCUGGAAGGUCACUGACGCUGAGGCACGACAGCUGGGGGAGCAAACAGGAUUAGAUACCCGAGUAGUC